AUGAUUGAUCUCAAUGAACUACCGGUUGACGUAGAGCCUGUCAACAUUUCGGUUGAGUCGGGUGCCCCGUUCUUAAAUACAGCCUAUAAUCAGCAGGAUAUCCAUUUGGAAGAGGGGGUUGGUGAGUCCCCAGACCCCGACAUUGGCUCUAAUAAUUCUCAUGUUUCGACCACCCAUGUCGCUGCUCCCAACGCUGUAGUUGGUCCUGCUAAUGCUACAGUUGAUGAUGCACCUGACUUGGAAGAUGAAGAAGUAGGGUCGCAGCUGCAACUGCCCUAUGUUGGUAUGCGAUUUGACACGCUAGUGGGGGCAAGAGAACACUACAAUCACUAUGCUCUAGCGGUGGGUUUUUCAAUCAAAUCAAACACGUCCCACAAGUCGGCAUACACAGGUGUGCUGGACAGUUCAAUCGGUGCAUAG
rnacentral:rRNA from 1 species